CUCUGAAAUUGUUCAGUUCUAACUUGCGUUACUAAAGCAUAUUCUCCGACAGAGAAUUCGGUGAGUAAUCGGGUUCGGACUAUUUUUUAAAAACACCUCGCACCCUACAAAAUCCCAAAUUGGUGACAAUACGUCAUUUCUGCUAUCCCCGGGGGCUUCUCGGGCCAGGCACUUGACACCGCACACCUGAGUGACUCCCCCAUCUACACGUGCACCCCAGUACACCCCAUCUGGUGAAGGACCAGCCUCGCAGGCUUUCCUGGGUCUUUUGUGAGGCAGAUUAAAUUAGUUCGGCAAACCUCGUUCAGAAGGGCGAGCCCGCGACCGUCAGGUGACUGCGAUGCUGGCUCAAGCUUGAGAACCACUGCCUCCGUGGAGCAUCUUCCUGGGCACCCUGAGCACCGGCUGGGAUGCAGAACCACGACGUUGCUAUCUGAUCUCAUCAGGCUUCUGCCAAGAGGCUAAAUGUCACAGAAGUCCCAGGGAUAGAUUCAGCAAGGGCAGAGCCCCCAGAAGGCAGAGGAAAGGAUAGAACAGAGUGGACGUGGACAGACGUCAGUUCAGGAUGAAGCCUGAGAACACCCGAGCGUACCUGACCAUCCUGGCCCCUGCCCUGUGCUGUGCAGGCCCCGGGGGCACACUGCGCUGGGGGCCGCAGAGUGUGGCAGAGCUCUCGGGGGCAAUUGGACGUGAGCUAAGCCUUGGCAGGUUUCAUCACUCCAUCCAGGUGCUCACAGCCCUGCCAACUGAACGCUCUCUCCUGGGCAGCUGCAGCAGUCUGGCACCUGGCGCCCAUCUGGUGGAAAUAAGCAUCCGCUUGGGAGGCAUGACAGCCUUGUUGGCUCCCGCGUGAUUGAUGGCCACGGCUGCUGCCCCUGUGUCCCUCGCUUCCAAAUAACACAGAGGGGGACAGUUUCCCAGCCAGUUGGGUAGCUCCAGGUGGCCACGUUCACCUUGGGGAUUCCCAGGAAGAGAGAGGAAAACCUGUAAAAUGAUGACAAUCAUGCAUUCCGUAUCUAUAGUCAUUUUUGCUUCAGAAUCUCGAUGGCUGGAGCACAUGGGAGCUUUUCUCCAGGGAUUCUGUGCUGGUAGCUGUGUGCCUUGAUUUUUCAGGUGGUGAUGAGGGCACUGGGAGGAAGGGACCUGAAAAGUGGAAGCCUGGCUUUUUCUGAAUGAAAUAAUUUCUGUGACCAUGGGUCCCCAACUUACCUGUGUGCCAGACUCCUCAAUUGGGUGGGAGACACACAGGGCUGCAAGUUCUGGAAGGGUAGGUGUGUGACCAGACCCAGACACCUGUAUCUUUAUUCAGGUCCUUAGGACUUUUCACAAUGUGGUCUGCAGAUCACCUGAAUCCAAUCACCUAUUUCAAAAUGCAAGUUCUUGGGUACCUGGUUGACACAGUCAGUUAAGCAUCCAACUCUUGGUUUUGGCUCAGGUCAUGAUCUCAAGGUCAUGAGGUUGAGCCCCACCACCAGCUGUGUGCUCAACAGGGAUUCUGCUUAAGAUUCUCUUCCUCUGCUCCCCCCUACUCACACGUGCUCUCUCUAAAAUAAAUCUUUAAAAUAUAAAAUACAAAUGCAGGUUCCUUGGGCUCACCCCAAGACUCAUAAAAUAGUUCUGGAUAUUGAAGCCAUAAGGGGUUUUGUUUGUUUGUUUUAAGAUUUUAUUUAUUAGAGAGAGCGAGCACGAGGUGAGGAGGGGCAGAGGCAGAGGGAGAGGGAGAAGCAGGAGCAAGUUCCCCACUGAGCAGGUGGGGCUCCAUCCCAGGACCUUGGGAUCAUGACCUGAGCCGAAGGCAGACUCUUAACUGACUGAGCCACUCAGGAGCCCCAAAGCCUUAAGUUUUUCAAUUUGAAGUCUAAUUGACAUUCAACAUAGUGUUAAUUUCAUGACUCCACAUUUGUACACCUUAGGAAAUGAUCACCACAGUAAGCCUAGUUAAUAUCUGUCUCCAUACCUAGUUACAAAAACAUUUUUUUUCUUGUGAUGGGAACUUUUAAGAUUUACUUUCUUAGUAUCUUCAAAUUUGCAAUACAGUAUUGACCAUAGUCCCCAUGAGGUACGUGACAUCCCAUUGCUUAUUUUAUAACUGGAAGUCUCUGCCUCUUGUCUCCGCACACCCAUUUCACCCACCCCCAUCUGCCCUCCCCUCUGGCAACCACCCAUCUGUUCUCUGUAUCUAUGAGUUUUGUUUUUGUUUUGUUUUGUUCAUUUGUUUUGUUUUGUUUAGACUCCACAUAUAAGUGAGAUCAUACAGCACUUGUCUUUCUGUCUGAUGUAUUUCACCCAUGGAUGGCUUCAUUUUUAACAAGUGACUUUAACCUCCGGUCUUGAACACAUUUACAUUUGAGAACCACUGCAUAAAUGAUUCUGACACAUCAUGACACUUGCAAAGCCACUGCCCCACAGCAAUUAAACUUACAUUUCUAUCUUACAGGCCCUAGAUUUUUUUUCCCCUGACUCAACUAGACUUCCCUCAGCAACGAAGAGCAGUGUUGGUCAAUAGAACACAAAGGAGCAAAGAAAGUUGAAAAGUGAUGUAACCCGAAGCCACGUUGAGUCUGAGGCCAAGAAACUGUGAUGGAAAAACACUAGGGCUCCUCACCUUGAUUGUGACAAAGCUUUGGAGGGUGAAAUGGAAUGUGUGAACCUUCUGAAAACUGUCGACACUACAGCUCUUUAGCAAAUGGGCUAGUUGUAGUUAGCAACUUCCUCCUGGCAACAAGAAGCUGCCUCUAGUCUUAGGCGCCUUUUGACUCCUCAUGGCAAUCUUGGGGCAGGAUGGUGUGAGCAGAGAGACUGGGAGCUUGGCUUCCAAAGGUCAGGCGCCUUAGUCUGCAAUGCCUGACCUCAGAGGUACAGAGGGGCGCAGUCCACGUGUCUGUGCAGUGUUUUGGGGCAGGCUUUGCUGCCAGCCCCAUGGAACCCUCACCCCUGUGGCCUCUCUCCCGGCGGUCAGUGAACAGUGUGAGUCCCUGAAGAGCCAGUGCAGAGCCAUUCUGUAGGAGCCUAGCCAGCUAGACAAUGGCUACUCUGUUCCUGUGUUCGCUAGCACCCAGACAGUUAACCCAGAAACUGCCCUACUGCCCCUCAGGGCAGGCAAAUUUAAAAGCUCUCCUUUCAACUUUAGCCCCAAAUCUCAGAGGCUGAGAAGAUGCACUUUCUUCCCCCAAAGCCUAGUUUUUUCCAUACUAUUUGGCCGUGAGGCCUUCAAGAGGGUCUCUUUUCUUCUUUUGUGGCUGCUGAUCCCUGGAGAAUUGAUAGAUCUUCAGAAGAAUUCCCCUAGAAACUCUGGGGGACAAGAGCAACCUAUGUCCACCCAGCAAUCUGGACUGGGAACACUCUCACUGUCUCUCUCCCAACCCUCCCCACCCCCCGCCAAGAGAGCCAGAGAUCAAACAGCCAUCCCAGAAGGCCAGAAACUGGAGGCAUUCUUGAAAUUCAUUUUAAAUUUCAUUUUAUUAAACUUGGUAUCAUUUCAAAGAUUGAGGCAGCUUACAAAAAUCAUAUACAGUGUAUCUCAGCAGGAGGAAUAAAAGCAAAGGAAGGGAAACAGACAAAACUAGGUAGAAAUUUUUGCAUGAAUUCCCUGGUGGACUUCUUAAAGAUGGCACCCAGAUUUGGUUCUGAGCUUUUUAGUAAGCAAAGAAGUCAUCAGUCCUGGAGGUAACUCAGAUAUCCUCCAUCAGUCCACCUUCUCCUUUAUUUAAAAAAAAAAAAGUCUCCCAUUUAUGAAGUUUUUAUGUGCCAGGCACAUAGAGGAUAGAGCCCUAUGAACAAAAAUUAAGUCCUUGUCUUCAAGGGGCUUAUACUCUCGUUGAGGGAAAUAAACCAUAUAUUAGGAAACACUGAAAUGUGACCGUCUGUCAGGGGAUAAUAAAUGCUAAAAAAAAAAUGAAACUGUGUGUGGGGACAUACAGAGGCCAGGGGAGGUACAGCCAUUUUGACAAAACAGUGGGGGACGUCCUCUAGGGAGUGACACGAGCAACUGGAAGGGUGAAGAAGUGAGCUGUGUGGGUGUGGGGAAGAGCGUUUGGGGCACAGAGGGCAGUGUGUGCAAAGACCACGAAGCAGGAGGGCAGUUGAUGUGUCUGGGAAACUUCUAAGACAUCAGUGGGGCUUGAGCACAGUGAGGGGCAGAGGGGGAGGCAGUAGGUGGUGACAAUGCCCUUGGGAACUGGGCAGCCUGGCAGCCCCUGGGAAGCGGGGAGGUCAAAGGGAGAGUGGUGCCUCACAGGCCACGCAAGGACUCUGACUUACCUGCAGUGAAAUGAGCAGCACAGGGGAGUGUUAAGCAGAGAGGUUGCAGGAUUUCAAAAGAUCACUCUGGCUGUGUGUGAAAAAGGGGCUGUGGAGGGUGUUUGCUAGCCUGCUAGGGCAGGCUGUGACAAAAUACCACAGAGCGGGUGGCUGAAAAGACAGAAAUGGAUUUUCCACAGUUCUGGAAGUCUGAGAUCAAGAUGUCGGUAGGUUUGGGUUUUUUUGAGCCCCUCCCCCCUUUUAAAGAUUUUAUUUAUGUGUGAGAGACAUACAGAGAGAGGCAGAGACACAGGCAGAGGGAGAAGCAGGCUCCCCUCAGGGAGCCCAAUGUGGGACUCGAUCCCAGGACCCCAGGAUCAUGACCUGAGCCAAAGGCAGACAUUCACCCACUGAGCUGCCCAGACGCCCCUCAGAGUCCUUUUCCACAUGUCCCCGCAUGGUGUCUGGGCAUGUCCAAGUGUCUGUGUGUGUCCAAGUGUCUUCCUCUAGUUAAGGGUGUCGGUAAGAUGGGAUCAAGGCCCACCCAAGAGGCCUCUUGGUAAUAUAAUCACCUCUAUCAGGGCCCUGUCUCCAAAUACACUCCCUUUCUGAGGUCCUGGGUUUAGAGCUUCAAUGCACGAAUUCAGGGAGAACACAAUUCAGCCCAUCAUGGGGCAAGGGUAGAAGGGGGAAGACUGGUUUGGGAGCUAGCAAGAGCUGCCGGUGCCAUGAGCAGACUGACAGCUGUGGGAGCGUGAAAAGUGCUCCCCGAUCCUGUCUUAAAGGAUCUUAAAGGUAGAAUAGGGUUUGCUGAUGGGUCAGCUGGAGGGUGUGAAGAAAGAAGUUUCAAGAUGGCUCCAAUUUUGGAGGGCUGGGCAACUGGAAGUGUGGGGUUGGCAUUUACUGAGAUUAGGAAAGCUAUGAGGAGCCAGGGAGAUACUGAGAUCGAGACGUUCAGGUUGGGCCGUGUUAAGAGGCAUCAACAGACGGCAACAGAAAAAUCAGAAUUCAUGUUCUUUUCUCAGGCAAUACCGUUCUGGUCUUCUAUCUCAAGUCUCUCUCU
rnacentral:lncRNA from 1 species